rnacentral:misc_RNA from 1 species
GAUGAAGAACGUAGCGAAAUGCGAUAAGUAAUGUGAAUUGCAGAAUUCAGUGAAUCAUCGAAUCUUUGAACGCACCUUGCGCCUUUUGGUAUUCCGAAAGGCACACCUGUUUGAGCGUCAUGAAUACCUCAAUCUCCAUCUUUUCUUCGGAUUGAUGGGUGACUUGGAUGUUGAGCCCUGCUGGUAUGCUAUAUCAGCUGGCUUUAAACUUAUUAGCCGGCUCUGUACUGGAUCGGUUUGACUCGACGUGAUAAUAUUAUCGUUGAGGAUGCAUGUCUCAUGCAGCCGGAAAGUAUCAAAGCAGCUUCUAGCUUGCCUUUAGUGCACUUUUACAUUUUAGACCUCAGAUCAGGUGGGACUACCCGCUGAACUUAAGCAUAUCAUAAGCGGAGGA